rnacentral:sRNA from 1 species
GUGAUCCACCCGCUUCAGCCUCCCAAAGUGCUGGGAUUACAGGCAUGAGCCACCGCGCCUGGCCGUCUCUCACUUUUUAGAUGUCUUUCUUCUCCAUAGGUCCAAUUAUCACCCAAAUGCUGGCAGCUCUCCAGACAUUCCAGUUUUUCUUUUGAGCUCAUCUCUUUCCUGAGAUCCAGACCUCCUUACCCUAUUUCCUAAGCAUAAAGUGCACUCACUUGUUCAGCAACUGUGUCCUGAGACCUGGUUCGAGUUCACCCCUCACCACGCUGGCUUCCCUGCACUGGGGGCCUAUGUUUCCAUAACCCACUUCGGAAGCAAAUUCAAGAAGGGAAGACUGGUCAGAACUCACCCUGAGAGAGACCUGACUUUCCUGAGAGGCUCACUCAGUAACUUUAUGGAUUUUGUGAAGAAAACAGGCAUUUGCGCUUCGAAGUGGGAAUGGGGGACCACUCACAACUUCCUGUACAAACACGCCCCUGGAAACAGCUGAUCCUCUCUCUUCCUGGCACUGCAGGUGGCAUCCGGGACAAGAUAAUGAGCAGCCGGAAGCACCUCCACCUGGUGGAUGCUGGUUUAGCCAUCAACACUCCCUUCCCACUCGUGCUGCCCCCGACACGGGAGGUUCACCUCAUCCUCUCCUUCGACUUCAGUGCCGGAGAUCCUUUCGAGCACCCGCAGUCGGCCACGUCCAACGAGCUUCUGAUCCAAAGCCAUCCCAGACCUUCCCGGGCCCCUCUUCCUGGCAGAUGACUCUCCCUGCUUCUGCGUCCUGCCUGCCCAUUCAUACCAGUUUGAACUGCGACAGCCUAGCUCCUCACCUGUGCACCUCCUUCCCCAGGUGUGCACAUCUCCAGCCCCGAGGGCGUGUCUUCCUG